GACGGAGGAUGCAAGUGUUAUCCGGAAUCACUGGGCGUAAAGCGUCUGUAGGUGGUUUAAAAAGUCCACUGUUAAAAAUUGAAGCUUAACUUCGAAGAUGCCGUGGAAACUUUUAAACUUGAGUAUGGUAGGGUAGAGGGAAUUUCCAGUGGAGCGGUGAAAUGCGUAGAUAUUGGAAAGACCACCAAUGGCGAAGGCACUCUACUGGGCCAUUACUGACACUGAGAGACGAAAGCUAGGGGAGCAAAUGGG
rnacentral:rRNA from 1 species